AGUGAACGCUGGCGGUAGGCCUAACACAUGCAAGUCGAACGGCAGCACAGUAAGAGCUUGCUCUUACGGGUGGCGAGUGGCGGACGGGUGAGGAAUACAUCGGAAUCUACUUUUUCGUGGGGGAUAACGUAGGGAAACUUACGCUAAUACCGCAUACGACCUACGGGUGAAAGCAGGGGAUCUUCGGACCUUGCGCGAUUGAAUGAGCCGAUGUCGGAUUAGCUAGUUGGCGGGGUAAAGGCCCACCAAGGCGACGAUCCGUAGCUGGUCUGAGAGGAUGAUCAGCCACACUGGAACUGAGACACGGUCCAGACUCCUACGGGAGGCAGCAGUGGGGAAUAUUGGACAAUGGGCGCAAGCCUGAUCCAGCCAUACCGCGUGGGUGAAGAAGGCCUUCGGGUUGUAAAGCCCUCUUGUUGGGAAAGAAAAGCAGCAGGUUAAUACCCCGCUGUUCUGACGGUACCUAAAGAAUAAGCACCGGCUAACUUCGUG
rnacentral:rRNA from 1 species